rnacentral:rRNA from 1 species
UACAGAGGGUGCGAGCGUUGUCCGGAAUCACUGGGCGUAAAGGGCGCGUAGGUGGUGGCUUAAGCGUGCGGUGAAAGCUCGGGGCUCAACCCCGAGUCGGCCGUGCGAACUGGGCUCACUGGAGCAUAGUAGAGGCAGGUGGAAUUCCGGGUGUAGCGGUGGAAUGCGUAGAUAUCAGGAGGAACACCAAUAGCGAAGGCAGCUCGCUGGGACGUUACUGACACUGAGGCGCGAAAGCCAGGGGAGCAAACGGG